rnacentral:tRNA from 2 species
GGCGCUUUGGUGGAGUGGUUAACACGUUGCCCUGCUAUUCUCGCAGAUAGCAUGUCAGGCAAUCCCUUCGGGGGCGUAGGUUCGAAUCCUGCAGGCGUCG